CAGCAGUCGCCACGGGAAUACAGAGGGUGCAAGCGUUAAUCGGAUUUACUGGGCGUAAAGCGUGCGUAGGUGGCUGUUUAAGUCGGAUGUGAAAGCCCUGGGCUUAACCUGGGAACUGCAUUCGAUACUGGAUAGCUAGAGAUCGGUAGAGGGCAGCGGAAUUCCGGGUGUAGCGGUGAAAUGCGUAGAUAUCCGGAGGAACACCGAUGGCGAAGGCAACUGCCUGGGCCUGAUCUGACACUGAGGCACGAAAGCGUGGGUAGCAAACAGGAUUAGAUACCCCGGUAGUCCCUGUCUCUUAUAC
rnacentral:rRNA from 1 species